GAUGAACGCUGGCGGCGUGCUUAACACAUGCAAGUCGAGCGAACAGACCCGGAGUUUGCUCCGCUGACGUUAGCGGCACGCGUGAGUAUCACAUGUGUAAAACGUCCCUAUAAUAGUGGUAUAACUUCGAGACACCGGCUCUAAUAGCGUAGGAUCUAUUGAACCACAGUGUUGAAUAGUGAAAUUCGGUGUUGCUUUCACUUAUAGAUUGUUCCCCGCGGCAUUGGCUAGUUGGUAAGGUAACGGCUUACCAAGGCGACGAGGCGUAGCCAGGCUGAGAGGGUGAGCGGCCACCCGGGAGUGUAGACACGGUCCAGGAUACUAAGAGAGGCCGCAGUCGGGCAUGUGCCGCAAUGGGCGAAAGCCUGACAGAGCAACGACGCGUGAGUGAUGAAGGUCUUCGGAUCGAAAAACUCUGUUAGUAGGGAAGAACAAAUGUGUAAGUAACUAUGGACGUCGUGACGGUACCUAAUAAAAAAGCACCGGCUAACUACGUG
rnacentral:rRNA from 1 species